UAUAAAAACUUCGUUUCUCGACCAAAUCAGCCCCCACUCGUUCCCACAAACCCUAAACUGAUUUCUAAACAUUUAUAGACAAUUCCCAAUCACAUUUUGGUGCCUCAAGACACUUGCCAUUAUUCCACUAUUUUUCUGAGUUUUCCUUGCUCUUUUGGAUUGCUAAGACCCGUCGACUGCUCGUGCUUCGGAGUCGGAUCAGGUUUAGUUGCUUGUAAAGUUUUCACGUGGAUUUGCAAGCAGGUUAUGAUAUGAGCGAGUCAGCUGCUCUCCGAUUCUUUAUUUCCUCGGAGGUUUUACUAUAUUUAAUAAGGUUAUUAAACUUAUUUUAUUCUUAGACCGCAGUAGUAAAUAGAAGUCUUAUGUCGAAUACUUGUUAUAAAUUUAUUCACUGAAUUAUUGCUA